UACGUAGGGUGCGAGCGUUGUCCGGAAUUAUUGGGCGUAAAGAGCUUGUAGGCGGUUUGUCGCGUCUGCUGUGAAAAUCCGGGGCUCAACCCCGGACUUGCAGUGGGUACGGGCAGACUAGAGUGUGGUAGGGGAGACUGGAAUUCCUGGUGUAGCGGUGAAAUGCGCGGAUAUCAGGAGGAACACCGAUGGCGAAGGCAGGUCUCUGGGCCACCACUGACGCUGAGAAGCGAAAGCAUGGGGAGCGAACAGG
rnacentral:rRNA from 1 species